UUGGUUAAGUUAGAAAGGGCGCACGGUGGAUGCCUUGGCACUAGGAGCCGAAGAAGGACGGGACUAACACCGAUAUGCUUUGGGGAGCUGUACGUAAGCGUUGAUCCAGAGAUUUCCGAAUGGGGGAACCCACUAUCUUUAGUCGGAUAGUAUCCUUACGUGAAUACAUAGCGUGAGGAAGGCAGACCCAGGGAACUGAAACAUCUAAGUACCUGGAGGAAGAGAAAGAAAAAUCGAUUUCCUGAGUAGCGGCGAGCGAAACGGAAAGAGCCCAAACCAAGAAGCUUGCUUCUUGGGGUUGUAGGACACUCUAUACGGAGUUACAAAAGAAAGUUAUAAAUGAAGCGGUCUGGAAAGGCCCGCCAAAGACGGUAACAGCCCGGUAGUUGAAAUGGCUUUCCCUCCAGAGUGGAUCCUGAGUACGGCGGAACACGUGAAAUUCCGUCGGAAUCCGGGAGGACCAUCUCCCAAGGCUAAAUACUCCCUAGUGACCGAUAGUGAACCAGUACCGUGAGGGAAAGGUGAAAAGCACCCCGGAAGGGGAGUGAAACAGUUCCUGAAACCGUGUGCCUACAAGUAGUUAGAGCCCGUUAAUGGGUGAUAGCGUGCCUUUUGUAGAAUGAACCGGCGAGUUACGAUUUGUUGCAAGGUUAAGCGGAAAAAGCGGAGCCGUAGCGAAAGCGAGUCUGAAUAGGGCGCAUAAGUAACAGGUCGUAGACCCGAAACCAGGUGAUCUACCCAUGUCCAGGAUGAAGGUAAGGUAAUACUUACUGGAGGUCCGAACCCACGCACGUUGAAAAGUGCGGGGAUGAGGUGUGGGUAGCGGAGAAAUUCCAAUCGAACUUGGAGAUAGCUGGUUCUCUCCGAAAUAGCUUUAGGGCUAGCCUCGAGGUAAAGAGUCAUGGAGGUAGAGCACUGUUUGGACUAGGGGCCCUUCUCGGGUUACCGAAUUCAGAUAAAC
rnacentral:rRNA from 1 species